rnacentral:rRNA from 1 species
CACGUAGGGCGCAAGCGUUGUCCGGAAUUAUUGGGCGUAAAGAGCUCGUAGGCGGUCUGUUGCGUCUGCUGUGAAAACUCGGGGCUUAACCCCGAGCCUGCAGUGGAUACGGGCAGACUAGAGGUAGGUAGGGGAGAAUGGAAUUCCCGGUGUAGCGGUGAAAUGCGCAGAUAUCGGGAGGAACACCUAUGGCGAAGGCAGCUCGCUGGGACGUUACUGACGCUGAGACGCGAAAGCGUGGGGAGCAAACAGG